GCGCCCGGGCGGGGCCGAGGGGACCCGCGAGUCGGAGCGGAGAACCGGCCCCCG
ensembl:miRNA